UGUUUUAGGUUGUUUGCAUUAGAAUUCACGAAUAUGUUGCAUUGCACAUUUUAAUGUUUAUGUGGAUGAACGUUGGAUGAUCCAUAGCCCUCGAUCUAUGAUAUGACGAUGAGAUAUGUAUGGUACGGAAAGUAAGACCAGUGGAACCCAUUCUACGUUCGCUGGCACUAUGUAAGGGAAAGACCAGGACCCAUUCUAC
rnacentral:lncRNA from 1 species